rnacentral:rRNA from 1 species
UGGGGAAUAUUGCACAAUGGGCGAAAGCCUGAUGCAGCAACGCCGCGUGAGUGAUGAAGGCCUUCGGGUUGUAAAGCUCUGUCUUUUGGGACGAUAAUGACGGUACCAAAGGAGGAAGCCACGGCUAACUACGUGCCAGCAGCCGCGGUAAUACGUAGGUGGCAAGCGUUGUCCGGAUUUACUGGGCGUAAAGGAUGCGUAGGCGGAUUUUUAAGUGAGAUGUGAAAUACCCGGGCUUAACUUGGGUGCUGCAUUUCAAACUGGGAAUCUAGAGUGCGGGAGAGGAGAAUGGAAUUCCUAGUGUAGCGGUGAAAUGCGUAGAGAUUAGGAAGAACACCAGUGGCGAAGGCGAUUCUCUGGACCGUAACUGACGCUGAGGCAUGAAAGCGUGGGUAGCAAACAGGAUUAGAUACCCUGGUAGUCCACGCCGUAAACGAUGAGUACUAGGUGUAGGAGGUAUCGACCCCUUCUGUGCCGCAGUUAACACAAUCAAGUACUCCGCCUGGGAAGUACGAUCGCAAGAUUAAAACUUAAAGGAAUUGAC